CAGAGUGUGCUCUUCCAAUCUGCGGGGCCUCACAAUCCUUUUGACUCUUUGGGUUUUAAGCAGGAGGUGUCAGAAAAGUUACCACAGGGAUAACUGACUUGUGGCAGCCAAGCGUUCAUAGCGAUGUCACUUUUUGAUCCUUCGA